AACCAGGAUUCCCCUAGUAACGGCGAGUGAAGAGGGAAGAGCCCAGCACCGAAGCCUGCGGUAGUUUUACUGUUAGGCAAUGUGGUGUUUGGGUCGGCUCGCGGGAUUGCCACUCCACUCGAAGUCCAGCAUUGAGUAUGGUCCACUGGAUUUGGCCCAGAGAGGGUGAAAGGCCCGUACGGGUGGAGGUUUCAGACAAGUGAGGCAAUUCACUAGGCCGGCCUUAGAGUCGGGUUGUUUGGGAAUGCAGCCCAAAGUGGGUGGUAAACUCCAUCCAAGGCUAAAUACUAGCACGAGUCCGAUAGCAAACAAGUACCGUGAGGGAAAGUUGAAAAGUACUUUGAAGAGAGAGUAAACAGUACGUGAAACCGCAUGCAGGUAAACGGGUGGCGUCAAGCUUUAACCUCAGAGGAUUCAGUCGGCUGGAAUGUAGUUAUGCCUCUGCGCAUGAACAGGCCAGUGUAAGAAUGGGUAGUCCACUGGAAGACAGUGGGCCCUGCCGCAAGGUGGGGAUGUGUGUACCGGGUGGAAGCCGGAGCACGCUGCCCGACUGUUGGGCCAUCCAGCCGGUGCACUUUCUCUGAGUUGGCACCACGACUGGUGGAACUGCCAGUCUACCAUGUCCAAGUCGUAUUCGGUUGGUCCUUGUGGCCUACGGGGUGCGAUCACGGGCAAACUCGGUGAACGGCGUUGACGUGUCCUUCGGGGCCUGUCCUCGUGCUAUCGGUAACCGGUUGUCUCAAAGGCCCGCCCGUCGUUGUUUUAGCCCUCGACGGGCGGAAGUGGGGCAUGGUGGUAAGAAUAACUGUGCAGGGCACCGUUUUUUAGAGCUGCAUCUCCUAUGCGGGCGGUACGCGCGCUACAAGCGUUUGACCAGGGGCGCAGGCCACCGCGUGCCUGACCGUCGGGUCUGACUGCCGUGUUGCCCGCGAAAAGUGGGUUCGGCAGUGGCCCGGCGCAGGACGCGCGGUGCACCCGCUCCAGUGCCGUUCGCAGAAGGCAUGUCAGUCAGUGGUGUAUUGGUAGACGAGCUACCCGACCCGUCUUGAAACACGGACCAAGGAGUUUAACAUGUGUGCAAGUCACUGGGUCCUACGAAACCCAAAGGCGCAAUGAAAGUAAUGCUGCGUAUCAUUCGUGGUGCGUGGUUAGGUGAGAUCCCGCCGUGUCUCGGCACGCUACUCCAGUCGCAGCCAGUCGAAGCGCGGUGGGCGCAUCACCGGCCCGUCCCAUGAUGUGGUCAUUGGAAAAGGCUGCCGCUGGCCUCGGUCGGUGGUAGUACUCCCAGUGCGUCAUCGGGGCGGAGCAUGAGCAGACAUGUUGAGACCCGAAAGAUGGUGAACUAUGCUUGCGUAGGUUGAAGCCAGAGGAAACUCUGGUGGAGGACCGCAGCGAUUCUGACGUGCAAAUCGAUCGUCAAACGUGAGUAUAGGGGCGAAAGACUAAUCG
rnacentral:rRNA from 1 species